CGGGAAGUAGCUCAGCCUGGUAGAGCACUACGCUGGGGGUGUAGGGGUCGCAGGUUCGAAUCCUGUCUUCCCGACCA
rnacentral:tRNA from 1 species